GAGGGCGGGCGGCUCUUAAAGGAGCCGCGCCGUUAUUUUGUGAGGGGAGUGAAGCUGCGCUGGCGGACAGGGAAAAAUAAAGAGAUAAAUAAUCCAUCCGAGUUUCUGGAGAAGAAAUGGGAACUCUCACAUGGAAUUUAUGUGGGAUUCAAGUGACAAUCUCACCCUCUGAGGCCUUUGACAAAACUGAGGUGUCAGCACCGCUUUUGGACAGAGUCCAGGCCCAGCAACUGCUUCUUGCUGGAUUAAUAACAGGCAUGAGGAGCUGUUUGCUGAUGGUCACUGCCAAAAUAAAACCAUGUGAAAAUAAACAGAGGCUACAAGCAAGGAGCUGAGUUGGAGAGGAUUUGUUGUGAGCAGGAUCUGUGGCAUCUGAGUCCUGGAAAUAUUUUGGGAUGGAGCUCAACCACAGGAUCUUGGUUAGAUCAUAGCUUGUUUUCCAGCUUUGAGGUUUGUGUGGGGACCUGAAUGUUCCAGCUCCAGCACUGGGAUUCCUGCAUCCCCAGCACAUGGAAUUCCCCCAGACCCAUGCCAGGCAGAGGAGGGAGGAGCUGCAUUUCCCCAGGACACCACGAUUCCCACGAAUACCACAUUCCCCCGGGCAGGAUUGCAUCCCUUCCCAAGAUAUUGUAUCCCAAGAGUACCACCACCCUCCUGGGUGUUUC